rnacentral:rRNA from 1 species
CACGUAGGGGGCGAGCGUUUGUCCGGAUUUAUUGGGCGUAAAGAGCUCGUAGGCGGCUCGGUAAGUCAGGUGUGAAACCUCCAGGCUCAACCUGGAGACGCCACCUGAUACUGCCGUGGCUAGAGUCCGGUAGAGGAGCGUAGAAUUCCUGGUGUAGCGGUGAAAUGCGCAGAUAUCAGGAGGAAUACCAGCGGCGAAGGCGGCGCUCUGGGCCGGUACUGACGCUGAGGAGCGAAAAGCGUGGGGGAGCAAACAGG